rnacentral:lncRNA from 1 species
GCAUGGUAGUUUAGAUUAGAUUUUAUAUAUAUAAUAUAGGUUAAAUUGUUUAAUCUAUCAAGAUCCACUGUAAAAUUUUAAAAUUGCAUGCAUAGAACUCCCAAUAUUUUUUUCAAUUAGUAUCAGAGCCUUGUUCGAUAUGAUAUAAUUUUUUAUAUAUUUAGUCUGAUUUUAUAUUAUUUAGAUUAGAUCUAAAUAAGUUUUAUUUUUAGUUCUAAUUUUUGAUCA